UGCCUUUCCCCUGUGACCAAAGUCACAGUCAGCCAGAAAAUCUUAGACUGAAGACAACGGCAACUUUAUACAGGCUUCUUCAGAAAAUCUUACACUGAAGACAACGGCAACUUUAUAUAGGUAAGGACUGAAUGAGACUUUCAAGACAGAGAUCAGGAUAAAUUGGAAAAUAAUAAAGAGAACAGUAUGCAAAUGCUGCACGUGCCUACAUGGAUUCAACCUUUCUUUCCUCUUUUUUGAUCUUCCUAGUUCUGACAGUCAAGUUGCCUGUGAUUACUGGAGAGAAGCUCUCCCCAGGGCAUUGGGCCAAAGGCAUUUUUUGAAGGGGCGUUGUGGAUUUAAGCAACCCCCUGCUCUGCUUCUGCCUACACUUCCCCAUACUUUCUCCAAUUGCACCUGAGUGGAAAUGAGGUGAAUCGUGCCUGGGAACUGAGCCAGGGUGAAAAUGACUGGAAUGGGGAGAGUGCUGCAUUUUAAGAGUAUCCUGGUCUGGUUGACAACACAACUGCAAUGGAAGGAGGGUAACCCAACUGCUCUAUCAAAGUGCUGCCAGCAAAUAUGAUGCCUGCAAAACUGUAGCUUUAUUUCCUUGUCAUUGGUGUGCCAGUAGAGUGGAAGGUAGGAAAGCCCAAAGGUGAGUUUCUGCUCUCACUCCACAUUCCCCUUCUCAGUCCUUCAGUCUCCUGUGAGGGAUGGGGUGAGCAGAGAGUAGCUGAGCAUGGAGGCUGAGGUUUCUGGAGCAGUGCUUGUCCCUUGUUUUCCUGCUGUAUCAUUCUGUCCCAAGCUCC